rnacentral:rRNA from 1 species
UACAGAGGGUGCAAGCGUUGUUCGGAAUUAUUGGGCGUAAAGGGCGCGUAGGCGGUGCGGUAAGUCUGCAGUGAAAUCUCUGGGCUCAACUCAGAGUCUGCUGUAGAAACUGCCGUGCUUGAGUGUGGGAGAGGUGAGUGGAAUUCCCGGUGUAGCGGUGAAAUGCGUAGAGAUCCGGAAGAACACCGGUGGCGAAGGCGGCCUGCUGGGCAGUAGCUGACACUGAGGCGCGACAGCGUGGGGAGCAAACAGG